rnacentral:rRNA from 1 species
GAUGAACACUAGCUACAGGCUUAACACAUGCAAGUCGAGGGGCAGCAUGGUCUUAGCUUGCUAAGGCCGAUGGCGACCGGCGCACGGGUGAGUAACACGUAUCCAACCUGCCCUUUACUCGGGGAUAGCCUUUCGAAAGAAAGAUUAAUACCCGAUAGCAUAAUGAUUUCGCAUGGUUUCAUUAUUAAAGGAUUCCGGUAAAGGAUGGGGAUGCGGCGCAUUAGCUAGUUGGUGAGGUAACGGCCCACCAAGGCGACGAUCGGUAGCCGGACUGAGAGGUUGAACGGCCACAUUGGGACUGAGACACGGUCCAG